rnacentral:pre_miRNA from 1 species
GGAAACUUGAAAACUACCGUUGAAUCGAGAAAUGGACGUCCGAGAUUCGUCCACGUCAUCAUGAGUUAAAAUUUAACUCGCAGAUUCACUCAUGAGUUAAAAUUUUACUCGGAGUUAAAUUUUAACUCAUGAUGACGUAAACGAAUCUCGGACGUCCAUUUCUCGAUCCAAUGGUAGUUUUCAAGUUUUC